rnacentral:siRNA from 1 species
GUGACUUAUUUACAAUGGCUGCCA